CUGCACGCGUCCCUUCGCUUCGGCGCCGUGCUUCGACUUCGAUUACACGCUUGUAUCAGCUCCGCCUCCCUCACCCUGGCGACGUAUAUUACUGUAUUUAUCCUUGGUAAAAGUGCCAUGUGAAAAUGGCUACGAUCGGUCGAUCGUCUUGGGCCCGAGGGACUCGCAAAUGUCGACAUUCUUUUUUCUACUCGAAUAUCUUACAUUGCUUCGAUUCGACUGGAACAACUUUUUCCGGCUUUUAUCGUGAUGUAAUUAAUAUAGCUACGUUUUCAGAGAUCGUUUGGACGCUAUAGUCCGACUCGUCGUCAUCCUCGAAUUCGCUCGGAGCAUGAUUUUAAAAUCAUGAGAACGUACGAGAAGGAUAAAGAGAGAGAGAGAGAGCGAGAGAGAGAGAGAGAGAGAGAGAGAGACAGAUAGAGAAGACGUAAAAGGUACGAAGCUAUUCUCCUUUCACCAUAAAGCGCCGUACACGUGGAAACAGCAUGGCAGCUAUUUACACCACUUAGCAACGCUGUUACGUUAAGGCCUACGAAAGAUAAAAAGGCACCGCCGUUCUAAAGCCAGCUUCAUCUUUAUUCGACGACGCCAAGGAGGUUAAGCGAAUUUAAAAGUGUAAAUCGUCGUAACCGUGCCACGUAAUCCCUUUCCGGAGUUUCGAAUUCAAGAAGUUCCCGACGAUUUUCACUGCGAGACGAGCGCUCGAGAAGGAUGCAACGAGAUCGUCCGUUGGCUCAGAGAACUCAGCGAUCCCACUCUCGAGCAUUGAAAAGACCAGAUAGGACCUAUCCUAUGGCACGAAACCAGAGGAGAGAAUCGGGUUAAACAAACGUUGUACAGGACAUAAUGGCGCCCUAAUGACUUGAUAAGCACUCUCCGGUACUACGUUGCAAUAAUCCUGUUACGACGAGGCCUGAUCCGUGCCUGGCAAUCCGUCCAGGAAUGAAGAGGCAAACUAUUUCGAGUAAGCGAGGCAGCCAGACCGAGCUUAAGUGGUAAGUUCAACGGUAACCGAGCUGCCGGAGAGUCUCUACCACGCCUCCUACUGAAAAGAUUAGAUUGCUCGCGAUACCAAUUACCCGCAAUGGUAAUUAGUUUCUAGUGGUGCCGAUUGCGAAAGUAACAGGUCAACGAAGUUAGAUUCGUUCGAUACUUUUGUAUUAAUUUUGUAAAAUAAAAGUCUAGCAGCGAAUAAAAAGGAA